rnacentral:tRNA from 1 species
GACCGCGUAGCUCAGUUGGCAGAGCAUUGGGCUAGUAUUCCAAAGGUCGUAGGUUCGUUUCCCACCGUGGUCA